UGUUUGGUUUUAAUUUUGAAC
rnacentral:piRNA from 1 species